rnacentral:rRNA from 1 species
CAUCCGGUCGAUCCUGCCGGAAUCCGACGCUCUYCCCAAGGACACAAGCCAUGCAUGCCCGCGCACCCGGGAGGCGGCGGACGGCUCAGGACAACGGUUGCACCCCCCGCGRCGGUCCCUGCUAGCCGGACACCGCUGGCAACCCGGCGCCAAGACGUGCGCGCAAGGGCGGGCGCCCGCGGGCGAGCAGCGUGACGCAGCGACGGCCCGCCCGGGCUUCCGGGGCAUCACCCGGUCGGCGCGGUCGCGGCGCGCCGAGGGCCCGACGCCUGGCGGAGAAUCAGGGUUC